rnacentral:rRNA from 1 species
CCUACGGGAGGCUGCAGUGGGGAAUAUUGGACAAUGGGCGAAAGCCUGAUCCAGCCAUGCCGCGUGUGUGAAGAAGGCCUUCGGGUUGUAAAGCACUUUCAGUGGGGAAGAAAGCCUUGGGGCUAAUACCCUCGAGGAAGGACAUCACCCACAGAAGAAGCACCGGCUAACUCCGUGCCAGCAGCCGCGGUAAUACGGAGGGUGCGAGCGUUAAUCGGAAUUACUGGGCGUAAAGCGCGCGUAGGCGGUCUGAUAAGCCGGUUGUGAAAGCCCCGGGCUCAACCUGGGAACGGCAUCCGGAACUGUCAGGCUAGAGUGCAGGAGAGGAAGGUAGAAUUCCCGGUGUAGCGGGGAAAUGCGUAGAGAUCGGGAGGAAUACCAGUGGCGAAGGCGGCCUUCUGGACUGACACUGACGCUGAGGUGCGAAAGCGUGGGUAGCAAACAGGAUUAGAUACCCGUGUAGUC